AAUUGGAGGGCAAGUCUGGUGCCAGCAGCCGCGGUAAUUCCAGCUCCAAUAGCGUAUAUUAAAGUUGUUGCAGUUAAAAAGGCUCGUAGUUGAAUUUCGGGGUUAGUACACUGGUCGUGCCUACGUACGUACUGGUGUUACUGAUUCCUACCUUCUGAAGAACCGUCAUGUCAUUAAUUUGGUGUGGCGGGGAAUCAGGACUGUUACUUUGAAAAAAUUAGAGUGUUUAAAGCAGGCUAACGCUUGAAUACAUUAGCAUGGAAUAAUGAAAUAGGACGUUCGAUCCUAUUUUGUUGGUUUCUAGGAUUGACGUAAUGAUUAAUAGGGAUAGUUGGGGGCAUUAGUAUUCAAUUGUCAGAGGUGAAAUUCUUGGAUUUAUUGAAGACUAACUACUGCGAAAGCAUUUGCCAAGGAUGUUUUCAUUAAUCAAGAACGAAAGUUAGGGGAUCGAAGACGAUCAGAUACCGUCGUAGUCUUAACCAUAAACUAUGCCGACUAGGGAUCGGAUGAUGUUAAUUUUUUAAUGACUCAUUCGGCGCCUUACGGGAAACCAAAGUGU
rnacentral:rRNA from 1 species